rnacentral:rRNA from 1 species
GAUGAACGAGGGAGGCGUGCCUAAUACAUGCAAGUCGAGCGAACGGACGAGAAGCUUGCUUCUCUGAUGUUAGCGGCGGACGGGUGAGUAACACGUGGAUAACCUACCUAUAAGACUGGGAUAACUUCGGGAAACCGGAGCUAAUACCGGAUAAUAUUUUGAACCGCAUGGUUCAAAAGUGAACGACGGUCUUGCUGUCACUUAUAGAUGGAUCCGCGCUGCAUUAGCUAGUUGGUAAGGUAACGGCUUACCAAGGCAACGAUGCAUAGCCGACCUGAGAGGGUGAUCGGCCACACUGGAACUGAGACACGGUCCAGACUCCUACGGGAGGCAGCAGUAGGGAAUCUUCCGCAAUGGGCGAAAGCCUGACGGAGCAACGCCGCGUGAGUGAUGAAGGUCUUCGGAUCGUAAAACUCUGUUAUUAGGGAAGAACAUAUGUGUAAGUAACUGUGCACAUCUUGACGGUACCUAAUCAGAAAGCCACGGCUAACUACGUG